AUUGAACGCUGGCGGCAUGCCUUACACAUGCAAGUCGAACGGCAGCACGGGAGCAAUCCUGGUGGCGAGUGGUGAACGGGUGAGUAAUGUAUCGGAACGUACCUUUCAGUGGGGGAUAACGUAGCGAAAGUUACGCUAAUACCGCAUAUUCUGUGUGCAGGAAAGCAGGGGAUCGCAAGACCUUGCGCUGAUUGAGCGGCCGAUAUCAGAUUAGCUAGUUGGUGAGGUAAAGGCUCACCAAGGCGACGAUCUGUAGCGGGUCUGAGAGGAUGAUCCGCCACACUGGAACUGAGACACGGUCCAGACUCCUACGGGAGGCAGCAGUGGAGAAUUUUGGACAAUGGGGGCAACCCUGAUCCAGCCAUGCCGCGUGAGUGAAGAAGGCCUCGG
rnacentral:rRNA from 1 species